GACGAACGCUGGCGGCGUGCUUAACACAUGCAAGUCGAACGGAAAGGCCCUGCUUUUGUGGGGUGCUCGAGUGGCGAACGGGUGAGUAACACGUGAGUAACCUGCCCUUGACUUUGGGAUAACUUCAGGAAACUGGGGCUAAUACCGGAUAGGAGCUCCUGCUGCAUGGUGGGGGUUGGAAAGUUUCGGCGGUUGGGGAUGGACUCGCGGCUUAUCAGCUUGUUGGUGGGGUAGUGGCUUACCAAGGCUUUGACGGGUAGUCGGCCUGAGAGGGUGACCGGCCACAUUGGGACUGAGAUACGGCCCAGACUCCUACGGGAGGCAGCAGUGGGGAAUAUUGCACAAUGGGCGGAAGCCUGAUGCAGCAACGCCGCGUGCGGGAUGACGGCCUUCGGGUUGUAAACCGCUUUCGCCUGUGACGAAGCGUGAGUGACGGUAAUGGGUAAAGAAGCACCGGCUAACUACGUG
rnacentral:rRNA from 1 species